rfam:Cryptosporangium aurantiacum strain DSM 46144 genome assembly, contig: Ga0131100_115
GCCCGGAUGGUGUAAAGGCAGCCACGGCCGUCUUAAAAACGGCUGCCCGUGAGGGCGUGCGGGUUCGAGUCCCGCUCCGGGCA